rnacentral:rRNA from 1 species
UGGGGAAUUUUGGACAAUGGGCGAAAGCCUGAUCCAGCAAUGCCGCGUGUGUGAAGAAGGCCUUCGGGUUGUAAAGCACUUUUGUCCGGAAAGAAAUCCUUGGCUCUAAUACAGUCGGGGGAUGACGGUACCGGAAGAAUAAGCACCGGCUAACUACGUGCCAGCAGCCGCGGUAAUACGUAGGGUGCAAGCGUUAAUCGGAAUUACUGGGCGUAAAGCGUGCGCAGGCGGUUUGCUAAGACCGAUGUGAAAUCCCCGGGCUCAACCUGGGAACUGCAUUGGUGACUGGCAGGCUAGAGUAUGGCAGAGGGGGGUAGAAUUCCACGUGUAGCAGUGAAAUGCGUAGAGAUGUGGAGGAAUACCGAUGGCGAAGGCAGCCCCCUGGGCCAAUACUGACGCUCAUGCACGAAAGCGUGGGGAGCAAAACAGGAUUAGAUACCCUGGUAGUCCACGCCCUAAAACGAUGUCAACUAGUUGUUGGGGGAUUCAUUUCCUUAGUAACGUAGCUAACGCGUGAAGUUGACCGCCUGGGGAGUACGGUCGCAAGAUUAAAACUCAAAGAAAUUGACGGGGUCAUAGCUGUUUCCU